UACAGAGGGUGCAAGCGUUAAUCGGAAUUACUGGGCGUAAAGCGCGCGUAGGUGGUUUGUUAAGUUGGAUGUGAAAUCCCCGGGCUCAACCUGGGAACUGCAUUCAAAACUGACAAGCUAGAGUAUGGUAGAGGGUGGUGGAAUUUCCUGUGUAGCGGUGAAAUGCGUAGAUAUAGGAAGGAACACCAGUGGCGAAGGCGACCACCUGGACUGAUACUGACGCUGAGACGCGAAAGCGUGGGGAGCAAACAGG
rnacentral:rRNA from 1 species